rnacentral:lncRNA from 1 species
UUUUUAUGUCCGAAAACGUUUUACCGCAAUAAAUUAUUUCUCUUUGCACGAAGUGCUAGUUUUUUGCCUUAUUAUUCGGGAUAUUAAAGAUGCAAAGUGGAUUUAAUUGGUACUAGAUGGUACAUUUCAGCUUUAAUAUAAAAUGGAAUUAAACUAAUUUUAAUUAUUAAAUUAUUAUGCUAGAGCAGUGGUUCUCAACCUUCCUAAUGGUGCGACCCUUUAAUCCAGUUCCUCAUGUUGUGGUGAUCCCAACCAUAAAUUAUUUUCAUUGCUACUUCAUAACUGUAAUUUUGCUAUUGUUAUGAAUCGUAAUAUAAAUAUCUGAUAUGCAGGAUUUAUUUUCAUUGUUACAUAUUGAACAUAAUUAAAGCAUAGUGAUUAAUCACAAAAACAAUAUGUAAUUAUAUAUUGUGAAAUA